GACGAACGCUGGCGGCGUGCCUAAUACAUGCAAGUAGAACGCUGAAGAGAGGAGCUUACUCUUCUUGGAUGAGUUGCGAACGGGUGAGUAACGCGUAGGUAACCUGCCUUGUAGCGGGGGAUAACUAUUGGAAACGAUAGCUAAUACCGCAUAACAAUGGAUGACACAUGUCAUUUAUUUGAAAGGGGCAAUUGCUCCACUACAAGAUGGACCUGCGUUGUAUUAGCUAGUAGGUGAGGUAAUGGCUCACCUAGGCGACGAUACAUAGCCGACCUGAGAGGGGGAUCGGCCACACUGGGACUGAGACACGGCCCAGACUCCUACGGGAGGCAGCAGUAGGGAAUCUUCGGCAAUGGGGGCAACCCUGACCGAGCAACGCCGCGUGAGUGAAGAAGGGUGUCGGAUCGUAAAGCUCUGUUGUAAGUCAAGAACGGGUGUGAGAGUGGAAAGUUCACACUGUGACGGUAGCUUACCAGAAAGGGACGGCUAACUACGUG
rnacentral:rRNA from 1 species